UGCUCCCCAGUGAAGACUGUCUCAGCUUUCUGGUCAAGGCAUCAACUCUGAACUACAGACAGAAGUCUCUGGAGCAGAAACUUCAGGUGGACAAGAGCCAAUACGUGGAGCAGGUAUUGUUCUGACCCAGAGACCAUGGCUGUGAAGAUCAAGGAGAAGAAUGACUUAACACAGUGGGAUAGCUAGAAAUCACACAGCUGAGAUGACAAGAAGUCUUCAUGCCAGGACUAGGAAAAGAAAGGAAAGCUGAAGAAAGAAGGUGUGAGAUUGGCCCUGCAGUUGAAAUAAAAUGUCCUUGUAGCAGUCACUGUGCUACAUAAAUAGUAGAAAAGUCUCCUAGUAAAGAUUUCUGCUUAGAAGAAGGUGGAUGCAUCUCCAAGUUCCUUGCUGCUGGAGAUGAGAAGUCAACACAGCUGCAGCCAAAGGACAAAAUCACUCAAGAGAAUAUGAGUUAGUUUGUCUGCAGAUACCACAAGUGGAGACAAACAAGAAUCACAAGGACAAAUAAAAUCUACAGUAAGUAAUAUCCUGAACUGUAGUGAUGUCUGUCACCUUGAGACUGUGAUUAAAUCACAAAUUAGUUGCAUUUUCUGUUCGAUAUUAAAAAUACCUUUAGAGCAGACUUUGUGUAACAGCAGCACUGUUGAAAAGAAAGGGUCCUGAAAUAUGUCUUCAUACCUUUCUGUGCAUGUGCACAAAUAUUAAACUGUUUUCUUUUCAGACACACCGCUGCACUCUGUGCUUGUUUGGAUGUUGAACCUGGAAACUUCUCAAAGGUUUUGCAUACGGAUAAUUCACGAGUUAAAGCCCAAAUUGAAAUGCCAUGUUACAACUUGUAGAAAUGUUAGACAAAUAUAAUGACCAUAUUUUCCAG